UAGACUGUAUAUAAAGAAGCUCGGCUAUUGUGACUGACGGGCUUGGAAAACUGCGUGGGGGGGACAGAGGUCGUUUCACCCACAGAUCGAAACAGGAAACAAACAUGGUGUGACUGCUGAUAAAAGCUAGCAUCUACGUGGUGAGGAAGAUCCGGGCUUCCAUUGCUGAGGGAGAGCAACUAGAAAAGCCCGUUAUAACACCAUGUAGUGCUACCGCUGAGAGGAGAGCGGGACCCGAGCCGAGAGGAAGCACCCCGGCGGCCGCACGGAUGUCAGGACCCGAUGAAGGUGUCAGUGGAGCGGCGGGCCCGGCGACGCCUUCGGGGACAGCCGUGCAGAAAUGCGGCUCCUGACGUUAGAGAUCACGCUGGGAUUGUGGGCAACUCACUGGGAAAAAGAGAAUUUGUCAUCUUCUCACUUCGAAACAGUAGUGAGCAAGCACUGCCGUUGUUCCAGUGAUCAUCUCAACCAAGUGUCUAUGCCGCACUCAGCUCCAGCUCCCGAUGGCGCACAUCUGGGCCUUUUUCACAGCAGACAUUUUGACUCACCAUCGCAGGAAAAAUACACAGAUGCAGCUCAUAACAUUAACAAUGACUCUUUUCCAUUCGGUCUUGCCGGUGACCUAACAUGCACAAUACCAUAGGGUCCCGCAACGGCCCCUGAAUGUAAUGCAGACAUUUAUGUUAAGAAAUGCAUUUGGUCAGUCAACAUGUUCUCUGUGAGACAGGCCGAUAUUUAUAUACUGCAGUGUUUGAAGGCAGACUCACCAACCUCUCUCCAGGGGCUGAGCUGGCCUGAUGUUUCUGCUGUUGUAUCAAUAAAUGGGAGGAAAAAAAA